GUUAAGUUUUCCGGAUAUGAUGUCAUUUGGUGAAUUUUUGGUACAAAACACAAAGGAAAACUAAAAUUUGCAAUUCACCAAAUGACAUCAUAUCCGGAAACUUUGAC